UGUGUUUAGCCCACAUACCUUCAGUCCUUCCUCACACUGCCGCCAGCCUGGGAACCCUGAGAGCCGGCAGGGAAGGCCUGGCUUCUCACUGCCUGUAGUGCCUCCCUUACAAACUCUUGAACUUUGUUCUGUCUAGUGAGAGACCUGCCUCUCCUGCCCCAGAGCUCUGCUGCCUCACCAUGAAUGGGUAAGUGUGUGCCAAGCCAAGCUGAUACUUUUGUUUCAUUUCGCAAAUGUUGAGAGGGCCUUUCGCUGCCCUUCUGAGUGCUUGCUGAAAGCUGUCCCGGUUCCUGGGCAGUUGACACUUGCUGGCUGCUUUGAAAUAGACUAGUACAGGUGCCUGUUAGGACCUGGCUAGGAACCGGAGGCUGGAUUUUGAAACUGGUAGUGUGAGGCUCUUGGGGACAGGAAGGAAUUUAAAAAGAAGAGAGAGGGCGAGCGCAGCUAGACUAUUCUUGGUUCUAGCAAAUCCUGUUUUGUAACUAUCCAGCAGCUAGAGCUGCCAUUGUCUGGUAAGAGGCUUCAAACAGUGUGCGAGGCUGAACUGCGGGAAAGAGGCAAAACUCAGCUACUGUAUUGUGAAUCCGGGGCCAGGGUCCUCCCUGAAGGUCUGCACUGGGAUCGGAGAGGUUUUCUUCUGUGGAAAUCGGAUCAUCUCCUCAUUGAUAUUAAUAGCACACAUGAGAUGUUAGCCACGAUGCUCAGAGAGGCAGUGGAGAGGGAGGGAAAUCUGAUCUUGCUUGGGGGAGAACGACAGACAGCCCUUUGGCUCUCUGGUGGAAGGCACAUCUAUCCAGGCUUAGUCCCUCUGCAUAAUGGUACCCUGGCUUGUGUGUCUGCUCUAGGAAUUCUAACCUUGGCUUGUUUGACUCCCUGGGCUCUGGCUAUUCUUUUUUUUUCUUGGACUAUCUUUAGAAAGCACCAUGUUGAGGGGCUAAUGAAAUUUUUUUUUUUUUUUUAAUUUUAAGUAAAUUAGAAAGCUGCUCAGCAGUUGCUGCUCUUGGUUUACUCUGGGCUCUUCUGCUUUCUUUUCAGAGCAGAGUGUUUAUCAUUUCCAUUAAAGUUGUCAAAACAGACGAGGGGAACCCUCCAAAGUUCCAGUCCUGUGGAAAGCUCUUGCAGGGUGCAGGGAGUGGGUCUAAAAGAACAUGCUUUUGCUCCCACUUGACUGUCGCCUUUCUGAGUAACUCCUUCCAACAGAAGAGUGUGCUGUUCACCCGCAGGUUGGAAACUGGGAGAAUUGAAAUAAAAUUCCAUCAACCUUAUUAAAAUAUGCGAGGGCUUGGGUCUUCUUGGGUACCAAUCAGUCUAGAGGCUUAGAAGCAUUUAUUAGCAGUGGGGCUGCUGAAGGUUUUUAAUGAUAAAAUUACAAAUAUUCUAGCUAAUUGUAAGUAUAUGACUUUUAUACUCAUUUUUUUAAGAGGAAAAAUACUUUUUUUUUUAUGAGGGGAAAGAAGCAGCGCCAUGAGCACCUUCUGUGAUUAGCACCAUUGUAUUCUUAAAUUUUGAUUGAUAGAGAUAAUAGUUUUCACGUAAAAAUACAGACAGGUACUUUAACUUUCCAUGACAAUAGCUAUUUGCAUUUCUUUUAUCUUUUUGUUUAACAUCUGUGGGGGUUGGGAUGGAUUUGAUUAUUAACUCUUAUUGCACACUGAAGGGGGAUCUAAAACAAAGGCUUUGUUAGCGCUUCAAAGGCAAAACAGCAAAUAUUGUUUUUGGUUUUCAACGUGUGCAGGCUGUUAAAGGAUACCUAUAAAAUAUUUUCACAUGACCGUGACCAGGGUUUUACUUGAGUGGAAGGUAAAAGGGAAUGAGUUUUCCAACUGAGACAGGCCCAUGGCUGUAGUUUUCCUGGGGGGAAUGCCAGUCCGGUGUGAUUUCUCGGGCAAUCCUAUGGGUUGACUGCACCACAUGGUUGCACUGUGUGUCGGCUUUUGAGUUUUGCCUAAACAGAGCAGAUUCCUAAAGUUAGACUCUGUGAUGUUUCCCAGAAGAAGAGAAAGGGCAGAAACACGUUCCUCCCGAGGGUUUGGACAGUGAUGUAGUAGUGGUGUGUGGUCAGUCAUUUCUCUGAUAGACCAGUAAAGGAAAUGCAGCAUUUAUAAACCAACGGCCAUGGGUGUGUCUCGGGCCACCCCUGACUGCAGAAGCCUGGACUGCACAGCACUUUAUUUCCUGUGCCCUUCCUUCCUCCUUUCCUUGUCCCCACUCCUCUCAGCCCUGCCCCUUUCUUUCCUCC
rnacentral:lncRNA from 1 species